rnacentral:rRNA from 1 species
ACUCAAAUGAAUAGACGGGGGCCCGCACAAGCGGUGGAGUAUGUGGUUUAAUUCGACGCAACGCGAAGAACCUUACCCAGCCUUGACUUCCCUGGAACCUGUAGGAAACUACGGGGUGCCCUCGCAAGAGGGAAUCAGGAGACAGGUGCUGCAUGGCUGUCGUCAGCUCGUGUCGUGAGAUGUUCGGUUAAGUCCGGCAACGAGCGCAACCCUUGCUUCCAGUUGCCAUCAUUUAGUUGGGAACUCUGGAGGGACUGCCGGCGCCAAGCCGGAGGAAGGUGGGGACGACGUCAAGUCAUCAUGGCCUUUAUGGCUGGGGCUACACACGUACUACAAUGGCGAACACAAAGGGCAGCGAAGCCGCGAGGUGAAGCAAAUCCCAAAAAAGUCGCCUCAGUUCGGAUUGGAGUCUGCAACUCGACUCCAUGAAGUUGGAAUCGCUAGUAAUCGCGGAUCAGCACGCCGCGGUGAAUACGUUCCCGGGCCUUGUACACACCGCCCGU